rnacentral:rRNA from 1 species
UUGACGGGGGCCCGCACAAGCGGUGGAGCAUGUGGUUUAAUUCGAUGAUACGCGAGGACCUUACCUGGGCUCGAACGUAAGAUGACUGUAGGUGAAAGCUUACAUCUCUUCGGAGCAUUUUUACGAGGUGCUGCAUGGUUGUCGUCAGCUCGUGCCGUGAGGUGUCGGGUUAAGUCCCAUAACGAGCGCAACCCUACCUUUAGUUGCCAUCAGGUAAUGCUGGGGACUCUAAAGGAACUGCCUACGCAAGUAGUGAGGAAGGCGGGGAUGACGUCAAAUCAGCACGGCCCUUACGUCCAGGGCUACACACGUGCUACAAUGGCCGAUACAGAGGGCAGCUACCUGGUGACAGGAUGCAAAUCUCCAAAGUCGGUCUCAGUUCGGAUCGGAGUCUGCAACCCGACUCCGUGAAGUUGGAUUCGCUAGUAAUCGCGCAUCAGCCAUGGCGCGGUGAAUACGUUCCCGGGCCUU